AACGAACGCUGGCGGCAGGCCUAACACAUGCAAGUCGAGCGCCCCGCAAGGGGCGCGGCGGACGGGUGAGUAACGCGUGGGAAUAUGCCCUUUGCUACGGAAUAGUCUCGGGAAACUGGGGGUAAUACCGUAUACGCCCUUUGGGGGAAAGAUUUAUCGGCGAAGGAUUAGCCCGCGUUGGAUUAGGUAGUUGGUGGGGUAAUGGCCUACCAAGCCGACGAUCCAUAGCUGGUUUGAGAGGAUGAUCAGCCACACUGGGACUGAGACACGGCCCAGACUCCUACGGGAGGCAGCAGUGGGGAAUCUUAGACAAUGGGGGCAACCCUGAUCGAGCCAUGCCGCGUGAGUGAUGAAGGCCUUAGGGUUGUAAAGCUCUUUCAGCUGGGAAGAUAAUGACGGUACCAGCAGAAGAAGCCCCGGCUAACUCCGUG
rnacentral:rRNA from 1 species